AAGACACGGAAGAAAAUGAAGAAGGCUC
rnacentral:piRNA from 1 species